GACGAACGCUGGCGGCGUGCUUAACACAUGCAAGUCGAACGGAAAGGCCCUGCUUUUGUGGGGUGCUCGAGUGGCGAACGGGUGAGUAACACGUGCGUAACCUGCCCUUGACUUUGGGAUAACUUCAGGAAACUGGGGAUAAUACCGGAUAGGAGCUCCUGCUGCAUGGUGGGGGUUGGAAAGUUUCGGCGGGUGGGGAUGGACUCGCGGCUUAUCAGCUUGUUGGUGGGGUAGUGGCUUACCAAGGCUUUGACGGGUAGCCGGCCUGAGAGGGUGACCGGCCACAUUGGGACUGCGAGACGGCCCAGACUCCUACGGUAGGCAGCAGGGGGGAAUAUUGCACAAUGGGCGGAAGCCUGAUGCAGCAACCCCGCGUGCGGGAUGACGGCCUUCGGGUUGUAAACCGCUUUCGCCUGUGACGAGGCGUGAGUGACGGUAAUGGGUAAAUAAGCACCGGCUAACUACGUG
rnacentral:rRNA from 1 species